GGUCCAUUUUUUAUUUCGAUUGAAGAGGUCAUUCAGGGCCCAGAUAAGCUGAAAUUCCGUUCCGAUUCCGUUCCGUUUUGACGUUUUGGAUCGCAGUGGAACUUAUGUUCAACCCUGUGCAUAUGUCUAAACCAGAGCAAAACAAAUCGAUCAUCUCUUUUUCUCCUAUCAAUUUUUCUUUCGUGUGUCAUCAUACGUUGCGUUACCAGUCAGAAAGAGAUAAAAAACUUUGUUUACAUAUAGUAUUAAAAGCAGCAAACGAAAAUUUCAAUCACAUUUUAAAUCUUUCUGCAAUUAAAAAUAUAUAUUAGCAAAAGUUUUUCACUACAAUCGGAGCAUAAAAAAGUUCCGGAAGUGCUUGUGGAGUUUUGUUGUUGUUUUUCCGAAUAGUAAGCUAGCGAGAGUGGAUAUUUUUUAACACCAUGUCAACAAAAAUGACAAAUUGUUGAUGAGCGAUGUACGGUUGAAAUAAUGCCUGAUGAUAAAUUCUAUUCUAUUGCGAACAAUAAAUCACCUUUGUGAUGUGUAAUUAUAAUGUGUAAUUCGAUUAAUCCAAAUCAGAUUAGAAACUAGUGUAGGAAGAUCUUGUGUAGUGUUUUAAGAAGCCAAUAAGAAGAUCAUGUAGUGAGAAGACUUCACCCCGGAAGCUUAAACAAGGUUCCCACUGAUAGUGAUUCCAUUUUGAAGGCUCUUUUGUAUGGCAAUACAAAUUACGAAAUUACAACGAGUGAAACGUGUUAGCAUCUUUGAUACACAGCUGCUAUUUGGACCAGCGAUCAUGCAGUUUUAAAGUCUACACGUGGAAAUGGAUACCCUCGAUACGAGAUUUCAACGUGCCAUAAUGCGAUUUGGAGCUGGCUGAUAACUAUUCGACUAAAACUAUAUAAGGAAUAGACAAACGAAUGAAAUAUCA